rnacentral:rRNA from 1 species
AACUAAGAAACUGCCGUUUAUACUAGUCUUCUUGAAUAUCGAUGAGGUAGGCGGAAUAUGUCAUGUAGCGGUGAAAUGCUUAGAUAUGACAUAGAACACCGAUUGCGAAGGCAGCUUACUAAACGAUUAUUGACGCUGAGGCACGAAAGCGUGGGGAUCAAACAG